GCUCAGAUUGAACGCUGGCGGCAUGCUUUACACAUGCAAGUCGAACGGCAGCACGAAAGAGCUUGCUCUUUUGGUGGCGAGUGGCGAACGGGUGAGUAAUACAUUGGAACGUACCGAGUAAUGGGGGAUAACUGUCCGAAAGGAUGGCUAAUACCGCAUACGCUCUGAGGAGGAAAGCGGGGGACCUUCGGGCCUCGCGUUAUUCGAGCGGCCAAUGUCUGAUUAGCUAGUUGGUGGGGUAAAGGCCUACCAAGGCGACGAUCAGUAGUGGGUCUGAGAGGAUGAUCCGCCACACUGGGACUGAGACACGGCCCAGACUCCUACGGGAGGCAGCAGUGGGGAAUUUUGGACAAUGGGCGAAAGCCUGAUCCAGCCAUGCCGCGUGUCUGAAGAAGGCCUUCGGGUUGUAAAGGACUUUUGUCAGG
rnacentral:rRNA from 1 species